rnacentral:rRNA from 1 species
AUGGCCGACGCCGCCGCGCUGGUCGCCGUGCCGCCGCCGCAGGCGCAGCAGCGGCACCCGCUGAGCCAGAUCGCGGCGAGCGGGACGCACCGGCUGCUGCUCAAGCAGUGGCUCAAGGAGGAGGACCUGCUGGCGCGCCGCGUCGCGCUGCGGGAGGCCCGCCUCGACGGCGCGCGCAAGGAGAUCGCCUUCCUCUACUGCGCCUUCUUCGCCUUCCACGCCGCAUCCGUCCUCGUCCUCUUCCUCUCCGCCGCCAUCCCGUCCCCCGGCCCGUCGUCCUCCUCCUGCCGCCGCUCCUGGAUCCCCUGCCUCGUCUCGCUGCUCGCCUCCCUGGCCAUGCUGUGGGCGCUGCGGUACAAGGCGGACACGGAGGCCGUGCUGGAGCGGGUGCUGGCGCGGGAGCAGGAGGACGCCGCGCUGCUCGGCCGCUGCGUCGCCGAGCUCAAGCGCAAGGGGCUCGAGUUCGACCUGCUCAAGGAGGUGGACGCGCUGCGCAGGGCCAAGGCCCUCCGCGUCGAGGCCAAGGCCGGCGCGGGCGGCGCCGACGGACCCAGGCGCUGGCCCGCCAGGGACCUCCCCGUCUUCGCCCUCUUCGCCGCCGCCUGCGGUGUCCUCAUGCUCACCAGGUUCCUGCUCUGCAACUAG